GAGUUUUGAUCAUGGCUCAGGAUGAACGCUAGCUACAGGCUUAACACAUGCAAGUCGAGGGGAAACGAUAUUGGAAGCUUGCUUCCGAUAGGCGUCGACCGGCGUACGGGUGAGUAACACGUAUCCAACCUGCCGUCUACUCUUUGGACAGCCUUCUGAAAGGAAGAUUAAUACAAGAUGGCAUCAUGAGUCCGCAUGUUCACAUGAUUAAAGGUAUUCCGGUAGACGAUGGGGAUGCGUUCCAUUAGAUAGUAGGCGGGGUAACGGCCCACCUAGUCUUCGAUGGAUAGGGGUUCUGAGAGGAAGGUCCCCCACAUUGGAACUGAGACACGGUCCAAACUCCUACGGGAGGCAGCA
rnacentral:rRNA from 1 species